rnacentral:rRNA from 1 species
UACGAGUUUGAUCCUGGCUCAGAUUGAACGCUGCGGAAUGCUUUACACAUGCAAGUCGAACGGUAGAGGGGGNAACCCUUGAGAGUGGCGAACGGGUGAGUAAUAUAUCGGAACGUGCCCAGUCGUGGGGGAUAACGUAGCGAAAGUUACGCUAAUACCGCAUACGAUCUAAGGAUGAAAGCGGGGGAUCGCAAGACCUCGCGCGAUUGGAGCGGCCGAUAUCAGAUUAGGUAGUUGGUGAGGUAAAGGCUCACCAAGCCGACGAUCUGUAGCUGGUCUGAGAGGACGACCAGCCACACUGGGACUGAGACACGGCCCAGACUCCUACGGGAGGCAGCAGUGGGGAAUUUUGGACAAUGGGCGCAAGCCUGAUCCAGCAAUGCCGCGUGCAGGAUGAAGGCCUUCGGGUUGUAAACUGCUUUUGUACGGAACGAAACGGUGAGCUCUAAUACAGUUUGCUAAUGACGGUACCGUAAGAAUAAGCACCGGCUAACUACGUG